rnacentral:rRNA from 1 species
UACGUAGGUGGCAAGCGUUGUCCGGAUUUAUUGGGUUUAAAGGGUGCGUAGGCGGCCUGUUAAGUCAGGGGUGAAAGACGGUAGCUCAACUAUCGCAGUGCCCUUGAUACUGAUGGGCUUGAAUGGACUAGAGGUAGGCGGAAUGAGACAAGUAGCGGUGAAAUGCAUAGAUAUGUCUCAGAACACCGAUUGCGAAGGCAGCUUACUAUGGUCUUAUUGACGCUGAGGCACGAAAGCGUGGGGAUCAAACAGG